UACGGAGGGUGCAAGCGUUAUCCGGAUUUAUUGGGUUUAAAGGGUCCGUAGGCGGACUUGUAAGUCAGUGGUGAAAUCUCAUAGCUUAACUAUGAAACUGCCAUUGAUACUGCAGGUCUUGAGUAAAUUUGAAGUGGCUGGAAUAAGUAGUGUAGCGGUGAAAUGCAUAGAUAUUACUUAGAACACCAAUUGCGAAGGCAGGUCACUAAGAUUUAACUGACGCUGAUGGACGAAAGCGUGGGGAGCGAACAGG
rnacentral:rRNA from 1 species